GCACAUUCCUCUCAUUAGGUGUGAGCACUGAACGGGCUGUUUGAAAGCCCAGUGUGCUUCUCUAGGAGCCCAUAAAAGCACUGGGAGAGGACUUAAGGGGAAAGGAGGACAGACAGGAUAGCACCUUCUUUCACAUGGAGCCUCAUUCAAAUGCCAGUGCCUUGUGCUGAAGUUGUCCUUUGAAGCAUCUGCGCAAGGUGAGUGGAUUGGAAAUUGAGAAAGGGCUUUAAUGUGUCUGUACGUUGCUGAGAAACUGCUAUCUUAAGAAGUACAUUCGGAGAGGAAUUGUGCUUCAAAGUUAGAGAUUUCUUUUUUUUC